AGCAUAAUUACUAGAUCAUAUGGUAAGAGUAUGUUUCAUUUUGUAAGAAACUGCCAAGCUGUCUUCCAAAGUGGCUGUACCAUUUUGCAUUCCCACCAGCAAU
rnacentral:pre_miRNA from 1 species